rnacentral:rRNA from 1 species
AUUCCUACGGGAGGCAGCAGUGGGGAAUAUUGCACAAUGGGCGAAAGCCUGAUGCAGCAACGCCGCGUGAAGGAAGAAGGGUUUCGGCUCGGAAACUUCUUUCAACAGGGACGAAAGAAAUGACGGGACCUGAAUAAGAAGCCCCGGCUAACUACGAGCCAGGAGCCGCGGUAAUACGUAGGGGGCAAGCGUUAUCCGGAAUUACUGGGUGGAAAGGGUGAGUAGGCGGCAUGGUAAGCCAGAUGUGAAA